GCUGAAUCAGGACGACAUGAGAGUUCUAGGUCAGGGUGUCCGAGACAACACGCUGACCCCAAACAUAUUCAAGCUUAUGUUUGAGUCCCGAAGUGCUCCCCCCAUCAAGGACAAAACAAGUGGUUUUCUUUCACUCCAAGCUCACUGCACCUAGUCGAUAACAUUGAGAUUCUACCCCAGAAAAGCUCAGUCAGUGUGCCGCCAUUGAUUUCCCAGCAUUCCUUCCUGUCGGGAUCUUUACCGUGUGAUGUGCACUUACUCAAUCUUCGGUCCUUACAGCAGAGUUAUGAUGGACCAAUCACACAGAGCGAUGACUCAGCACUUCUAUUACACAUACUAGGACUGGAUUGUGGGAUUUCAAGACAUGGAUUACCUUGUACUGAGACACAGGGGAAGGUCAGAUUACGGGAUCUGUUCAGUGACACGCUAGGGGUGAAGGAGAUGCGGCGGACGUCCUUGACAUUACUACACGACAAAGGCCCCACAUCGCUAGAUAGUGACCUUACCUUGAAUCCCAUGGAAAUAUACAGUGUCAAGGUCAAAUGGUGAAUGUUUAUAAUGGGAGUG